UAUUGUGGAGCUGCUUUCUCUUUUUUGGCAGGGAAUCCUGUCUGUUCUUAGGGGGUGGUAGCUGUUUGUACCUGGAAGCUGCUUCCUUCACUUCAGAGUGUAGCAUGAUGGGGUUUAAGGAUUACCUGUGCUCCUCCAAUCAGCGGUGUGAGAUCUGUGCGGCAGGUAACGAACACUAUGAGCUCCAUGUUGGUGCACUGCUUGUAUGCAGGUGGCAGCAGAGGUGCAGUGCUCUCGAGUGUCGUAACGACUGCAUGGAGAUGUGUGGAUUUUCAUGGGGACAGCAAGGAGCCGGAAUCUGCAUUUUCUGGAAUGCCCCGGAAGCUCACUUUGCUGACUGGUAAUUGUCUGUCCAGCAGGUAAGCGCAAUGCACAGCCAGUGCACAGCCAGUGUUUACCCAUUCCACAGCCUGGCACAACAUGGUGCUCC